GGGGAUGCUCUGCAUCCCACUUCCCCAUGCCACUGAGAGACAGUGCCCUUUGUGACAUCCUUUCACAAGUUUUUUCCUCUUCCUAAGCUCUGCCUACUCAACAGCUUCAUUUUGGAGCCUGCACUUGCUGGCAAGAGGAAGCAACCAGCACGUGGGCCAGAGGAGGGCUGGGCUCUGCAAGGACUGGCACUGCACUACUGGGAUCACGAUGGGACUGGUGGCUGGAGCUGGGAGUGCGACAGAGUGUGAAGUGAGGCUGUGAAAAAGGGCUCUGCCAGGAGACAUAGGCAGUGUGGAGAAGGACCAGGACCAGAAACAGACACAGGCUUCUGGGAGCUGCUGCCGAACUGCAGCUGUGAAUAACAGACUAGCUGAGGUUGGAAGGGACCUCUGGAGGUCAUCUGGUUCAAGCCCCCUGCUCAAGCAAAGCUACCUAGUUGACUGUGUCUAGGCACCUUUUGAGUAUCUCCAAAGACGGAGACU